rnacentral:piRNA from 1 species
UUAACAGUCAGGAUUAAUGGAAUUCAUGC